rnacentral:rRNA from 1 species
CGUGAGGAAGGCAGACCCAGGGAACUGAAACAUCUAAGUACCUGGAGGAAGAGAAAGAAAAAUCGAUUUCCUGAGUAGCGGCGAGCGAAACGGAAAGAGCCCAAACCAAGAAGCUUGCUUCUUGGGGUUGUAGGACACUCUAUACGGAGUUACAAAAGAAAGUUAUAAAUGAAGCGGUCUGGAAAGGCCCGCCAAAGACGGUAACAGCCCGGUAGUUGAAAUAGCUUUCCCUCCAGAGUGGAUCCUGAGUACGGCGGAACACGUGAAAUUCCGUCGGAAUCCGGGAGGACCAUCUCCCAAGGCUAAAUACUCCCUAGUGACCGAUAGUGAACCAGUACCGUGAGGGAAAGGUGAAAAGCACCCCGGAAGGGGAGUGAAACAGUUCCUGAAACCGUGUGCCUACAAGUAGUUAGAGCCCGUUAAUGGGUGAUAGCGUGCCUUUUGUAGAAUGAACCGGCGAGUUACGAUUUGUUGCAAGG